rnacentral:rRNA from 1 species
UACGGAGGAUGCAAGCGUUAUCCGGAAUGAUAGGGCGUAAAGCGUCCGCAGGUGGCUAUGUAAGUCUGCUGUUAAAGAGUGAGGCUCAACCUCAUAAGAGCAGUGGAAACUACAUAGCUAGAGUACGUUCGGGGCAGAGGGAAUUCCUGGUGUAGCGGUGAAAUGCGUAGAGAUCAGGAAGAACACCAGUGGCGAAGGCGCUCUGCUAGGCCGUAACUGACACUGAGGGACGAAAGCUAGGGGAGCGAAUGGG